GUGCUACGGAAUUGAACAUUUUCGACCCUCGUCCAAAUCCAACGACCUACUGUAACCUCAAUUAUUUUAUCAUUUCAUUCAUAACAACUUCUGAAAUGAUAUAAUAACUUAUUUUGAAGAUUUUCGUUUGAUCACUUUGUUUCUGAGGUAUUUCAGUGUGUUUGGUAUGCAAAUAUCCGGAAUUUACGUCACAAAUGCAUGACUUAAGGUAAAAUCUUGUAUAUCGUAUUCACUAUCCAGUUUAAUUCAUUAAAAUGCAGUUUGGAGUUGGGGAGGAUUACAUAUACCGAGUAUGUAAAAUAUCAUUUAUCCUUUUUAUUUCAUGAUAUUUAACUGUACAUUCUUUGAUCAGCAUUAUAUGUACAUGUGACGUG